rnacentral:sRNA from 1 species
AUCAGGUUCGAUUUGAGGCAUUGGCGCC